AACGAACGCUGGCGGCAGGCCUAACACAUGCAAGUCGAGCGCCCCGCAAGGGGAGCGGCGGACGGGUGAGUAACGCGUGGGAACGUACCCUUUGCUACGGAAUAGCCUCGGGAAACUGGGAGUAAUACCGUAUGUGCCCUUCGGGGGAAAGGAUUUAUCGGCAAAGGAUCGGCCCGCGUUGGAUUAGGUAGUUGGUGGGGUAAUGGCCUACCAAGCCGACGAUCCAUAGCUGGUUUGAGAGGAUGAUCAGCCACACUGGGACUGAGACACGGCCCAGACUCCUACGGGAGGCAGCAGUGGGGGAAUCUUAGACAAUGGGCGGCAAGCCUGAUCUAGCCAUGCCGCGUGAGCGAUGAAGGCCUUAGGGUUGUAAAGCUCUUUUCAGUGGGGAAGGAUAAUGACUG
rnacentral:rRNA from 1 species